UGCAAAGUGGUGUGAAUGAAGUGGUCCAUC
rnacentral:piRNA from 1 species